rnacentral:piRNA from 1 species
UUGAAGUCCUAGAACAUCUUUAAGAUUGGUA